CGGACCUUGAGGCCGGCGGCUUCCUGGCGCCCGUGUUCAGUGCGCUCCGCCUCGCUGGGUCUUAGAGCCGGGGUGGGCUGGAUGUCCCUGCGGCUGCCGUAAGGCGCUAGGCGACUCUGAGCCUCCGGCAAAGAGAGCCAUUAGGUGGUGUUCACACUUUACGCCGGGAAACGUGGCGUGGGAACCUCACCACUAGAGCUUUUGCCCGGAGACAUCCAGAAAUGCAGGUGGGGCAAUAGGCUCCCCCCUCAGAAAGCAGUGACCUCAGUUUAUCCUUUAAUGCGGAGAAGAAUGGCACUGCCUGGUAGAGCUGCCAAAAGGAUUGUAUGAGGACCUUGUGCUCUUAGAAAUGAUUUGGGGCUGGACAUGGUGAUUGAUGCUCACCUCUAAUCUCAGCAUUCUGGAUGUGGAAGCAAGAGAUUUCUACUAUGCACAGCUAGAGAAGAAUUACAACUGCAGGAAGGAGUGGCUCAGGUGAGAGUCUAAUGACCCUUCUCCAUACCCUACUCCUAUGAGGGUAUGAAUAUCCACAGGUAUGUUAUGCCAGGAGGGCUGUGUUCCACACAUUGAUUCAUAAAAGAAAAAAAAAAUGAGAACGGCUAGUCCAAGGUACCUCUGUGCCACUGGCUGGCCUGAGGACCCAGCAAAAGGAGGCCAGUGAGUCAGGAAAACAAACUGACUCUGAGCAUCUCUUUCCAGGAUACUAGGACCUUCACUCCACCCCUGGGAAGGUGGCAGAAGGUCGUUCAGAAUAGUUGAGAAGGUAGAAAGACCCACUCCUAGAAGUGAGUAUUUCCCCAAAAGGAGGAGAGGCAUGCACAGGACAAUGAAAAAACAGUUCAUAGAGCUGAGGCUGCCCCAUACCCUAGAAGCCUGGGGACCCUGAACAUGACUGAGACUGGGUUCCCAGCUCCCUGUAAAAGGAGCACAAUGUGAUGUCAGAAGCAGUAUUUCCGCUGCACUGAGACAUUUCCCUGAAGAAGCCUCACGACUGAGAACACUGUCAUGAUUUUUCCCCCAGUGAGAAUUAUGACUGAUCCUACUUAAAACUGCAGUGUAUGCUUAUGAUUAAAAAAAAAAAAAAAAGCAGAUUCUGUUUUCAUUGUGAUAGCUUUUAA